GAUGAACGCUGGCGGCGUGCCUAAUACAUGCAAGUCGAGCGAACAGAUGAGGAGCUUGCUCCUCUGACGUUAGCGGCGGACGGGUGAGUAACACGUGGAUAACCUACCUAUAAGACUGGGAUAACUUCGGGAAACCGGAGCUAAUACCGGAUAAUAUAUUGAACCGCAUGGUUCAAUAGUGAAAGACGGUUUUGCUGUCACUUAUAGAUGAAUCCGCGCCGCAUUAGCUAGUUGGUAAGGUAACGGCUUACCAAGGCAACGAUGCGUAGCCGACCUGAGAGGGUGAUCGGCCACACUGGAACUGAGACACGGUCCAGACUCCUACGGGAGGCAGCAGUAGGGAAUCUUCCGCAAUGGGCGAAAGCUUGACGGAGCAACGCCGCGUGAGUGAUGAAGGUCUUCGGAUCGUAAAACUCUGUUAUUAGGGAAGAACAAAUGUGUAAGUAACUAUGCACGUCUUGACGGUACCUAAUCAGAAAGCCACGGCUAACUACGUG
rnacentral:rRNA from 1 species